AUUGAACGCUGGCGGCAUGCUUUACACAUGCAAGUCGAACGGUAACAGGCCGCAAGGUGCUGACGAGUGGCGAACGGGUGAGUAAUGCAUCGGAACGUGCCCAGUCGUGGGGGAUAACGCAGCGAAAGCUGUGCUAAUACCGCAUACGAUCUAUGGAUGAAAGCGGGGGACCGUAAGGCCUCGCGCGAUUGGAACGGCCGAUGUCAGAUUAGCUAGUUGGUGGGGUAAAGGCCCACCCAGGCGACGAUCUGUAGCUGGUCUGAGAGGACGACCAGCCAAACUGGGACUGAGACACGGCCCAGACGCCUACGGGAGGCAGCAGUGGGGAAUUUUGGACAAUGGGCGCAAGCCUGAUCCAGCAAUGCCGCGUGCAGGAAGAAGGCCUUCGGGUUGUAAACUGCUUUUGUACGGAACGAAACGGCGAGCUCUAAUACAGUUUGCUAAUGACGGUACCGUAAGAAUAAGCACCGGCUAACUACGUGCCAGCAGCCGCAGUAACAC
rnacentral:rRNA from 1 species